rnacentral:lncRNA from 1 species
CCCCAGACCCCUUUCGUACUUCACUGUUGGCCUUUCUGUCUCCAUUUCCAGAUAGUUAAUUCCUCAAAAGGAAGGACUGCAUUUUAGCACGACUGUAUCCUAGUGCCCAGCAGAGUUUCUGGCACGUGGCUGGUGUGCAGUAAACCUCCCCAGAAAUGAAUUGCCCUGAAGACUUCGUGUUCUGCUGUUGCCAAAGCAAUUGACUUCCUGGUAUUGGGGUGACCUCUCUUUUCAGACAAUAUCUCUCCCCACACAAUCUGGAUACCAAGGGUGUCUUCAUCUUCCUGAUAUAUGGGGUAUACAACACAGAGGGCUGCUGCACCUGGAUUACACGCGGUUUCCUUUUCCAGUAGCCUUCAGGUAGGUUGGCAACAAGACUUUUUUUUUUUUUUUUUGCAACGGUACCUCUAUUGCGGUUUCAAAGCAGGCUCCUCCUAUAAAUGCAAAGGAUACACGCCCAUUAUUAAAAUAUUUCCAAACUAAGAGGGAUAACAGAAGCAAUGUUUUAAUAAAUGUUGUGCACUUGAAGUUUACUGCUUUUAGGUAGAACCAAAAGUGCCCUAAGUGAUCCACUUGUGGGUUUGGAUUUUGAUUCAAUACUUGGACUGCAAACUAAAGCAGAGAAAGCCCCCACAUUCGUCCUCAGUUUCCCCCACCUUUUCCGCCAGCCUCUUUCUCUGCAGCCCCCAAGCCACGCUGCAUUACGGUCCUGCGUAAUUCCGCCCCUUGGGUUCCACCUCCUGAGCGGCCUCCCCCAGAAGCCCUCAUCCACGUCCACCGCCGUCAGUGCAGCC